rnacentral:rRNA from 1 species
CCUACGGGAGGCAGCAGUAGGGAAUCUUCCGCAAUGGACGAAAGUCUGACGGAGCAACGCCGCGUGAACGAUGAAGGCCUUCGGGUCGUAAAGUUCUGUUGUUAGGGAAGAACAAGUGCUAGUUGAAUAAGCUGGCACCUUGACGGUACCUAACCAGAAAGCCACGGCUAACUACGUGCCAGCAGCCGCGGUAAUACGUAGGUGGCAAGCGUUGUCCGGAAUUAUUGGGCGUAAAGCGCGCGCAGGCGGUUUCUUAAGUCUGAUGUGAAAGCCCCCGGCUCAACCGGGGAGGGUCAUUGGAAACUGGGAAACUUGAGUGCAGAAGAGGGAAGUGGAAUUCCAAGUGUAGCGGUGAAAUGCGUAGAGAUUUGGAGGAACACCAGUGGCGAAGGCGACUUUCUGGUCUGUAACUGACGCUGAGGCGCGAAAGCGUGGGGAGCAAACAGGAUUAGAUACCCUGGUAGUCCACGCUGUAAACGAUGAGUGCUAAGUGUUAGAGGGUUUCCGCCCUUUAGUGCUGAAGUUAACGCAUUAAGCACUCCGCCUGGGGAUACGGUCGCAAGACUGAAACUCAAAGGAAUUGACGG